GGAGUAGGUGUGAAGCAAAAAUCUGGUUUUGAAUCAUAGAAACCUUAAAAAUCUCUUCUUUCUGAUCAGAUGUUACAUUAACUAGUGGAGUUGCUUGGAUAACCAGAAGUUACUAAAUGGCAGCAUAAUGAAGAAAACAUGUCAACGUUUUCUACCAUUAAAGUUUCAGCUGCCAGUUCCUUCAUUUUGCUCUCCUCUGAUCUGAGAAUAUUAGCAGCAGG